GUUGAUGUGACAUGAGCUUAUUGGGUCAAGCUAGUGACGUUAAAGAGGCACUUACUGGGAGGCAACCCAAUGCUCUAAACUUUUACUUUUUAAUUUUGUUUUUUUUUUGUUUUAAUAUGUGUUUUCUUUUAUUUAUUUUUAUUAUUCUCUGCUUGAAUGAACUAAACUGUUUUUAUUCAACUUUGCUCUAUAUUGUGUGAUAAGUUUGCUUUUUGAAAAUUCUAGUGUUUGAUUGAAGUUGAGAUGAUGCAUGAUGAUAAAAUCCCAAUUUGUGAGACAUGUGCUUGAGAUAAAGUUUGAUUAAAAUACUGAGCAAGAUGUUUUUCUGAACAUGAGAACUUGUGAGUUUACCUGUGUGAGUUUUGAGUUUCAGAGUAUUUUUAAUUAAUUGUUAUUACUUUGGA
rnacentral:lncRNA from 1 species